UACGUAGGGAGCAAGCGUUGUCCGGAAUCAUUGGGCGUAAAGCGCGCGUAGGUGGCCCCAUAAGUCCGCUGUGAAAGUCAAAGGCUCAACCUUUGAAAGCCGGUGGAUACUGUGGGACUAGAGUACGGAAGAGGCGAGUGGAAUUCCUGGUGUAGCGGUGAAAUGCGCAGAUAUCAGGAGGAACACCGGUGGCGAAGGCGGAUCUCUGGGCCGAUACUGACGCUGAGGAGCGAAAGCGUGGGGAGCGAACAGG
rnacentral:rRNA from 1 species